AGUGAACGCUGGCGGUAGGCCUAACACAUGCAAGUCGAACGGCAGCACAGUAAGAGCUUGCUCUUACGGGUGGCGAGUGGCGGACGGGUGAGGAGUACAUCGGAAUCUACUUUUUCGUGGGGGAUAACGUAGGGAAACUUACGCUAAUACCGCAUACGACCUACGGGUGAAAGCAGGGGAUCUUCGGACCUUGCGCGAUUGAAUGAGCCGAUGUCGGAUUAGCUAGUUGGCGGGGUAAAGGCCCACCAAGGCGACGAUCCGUAGCUGGUCUGAGAGGAUGAUCAGCCACACUGGAACUGAGACACGGUCCAGACUCCUACGGGAGGCAGCAGUGGGGAAUAUUGGACAAUGGGCGCAAGCCUGAUCCAGCCAUACCGCGUGGGUGAAGAAGGCCUUCGGGUUGUAAAGCCCCUUUGUUGGGAAAGAAAAGCAGCAGGUUAAUACCCCGCUGUUCUGACGGUACCCAAAGAAUAAGCACCGGCUAACUUCGUG
rnacentral:rRNA from 1 species